GACGAACGCUGGCGGCGUGCUUAACACAUGCAAGUCGAACGGAAAGGCCCUGCUUUUGGGGGGUGCUCGAGUGGCGAACGGGUGAGUAACGCGUGAGUAACCUGCCCUUGACUUUGGGAUAACUUCAGGAAACUGGGGCUAAUACCGGAUAGGAGCGCCUGCUGCAUGGCGGGGGUUGGAAAGUUUCGGCGGUUGGGGAUGGAAUCGCGGCUUAUCAGCUGGGGGGUGGGGUAGUGGCUUCCGAUGGCUUUGACGGGUAGCCGGCCUGAGAGGGUGACCGGCCACAUUGGGACUGAGAUACGGCCCAGACUCCUACGUGAGGCAACAGUGGGGAAUCUUGCACAAUGGGCCGACGCCUGAUGCAGCAGCGCCGCGGGCGGGAUGACGGCCUUCGGGUUGUGAACCGCUUUCGCCUGUGACGAAGCGUGAGUUACGGUAAUGGGUAAAGAAGCACCGGCUAACUACGUG
rnacentral:rRNA from 1 species